UACGAAGGGUGCAAGCGUUGUUCGGAAUUAUUGGGCGUAAAGCGCGUGUAGGCGGCUUUGCAAGUCGGGUGUGAAAUCCCUCAGCUCAACUGAGGAAGUGCGCCCGAAACUGCAGAGCUUGAGUACCGGAGAGGAUGGCGGAAUUCCCCAAGUAGAGGUGAAAUUCGUAGAUAUGGGGAGGAACACCGGUGGCGAAGGCGGCCAUCUGGACGGAUACUGACGCUGAGACGCGAAAGCGUGGGGAGCGAACAGG
rnacentral:rRNA from 1 species